AACGCACAUUGCGCCCCUUGGUAUUCCGGGGGGCAUGCCUGUUCGAGCGUCAUUACAACCCUCAAGCUCUGCUUGGUCUUGGGCGUCACCGGUCCCCGGUGUGCCUUAAAAUCAGUGGCGGCGCCACCCGGCUCUCAGCGUAGUACACACUCCCGCUACAGACGCCCGGUGGAUGCUGGCCAGCAACCCCCAUUUCUCAAGGUUGACCUCGGAUCAGGUAGGGAUACCCGCUGAACUUAA
rnacentral:misc_RNA from 1 species